rnacentral:rRNA from 1 species
CAUGCAAGUCGAGCGAAUGGAUUAAGAGCUUGCUCUUAUGAAGUUAGCGGCGGACGGGUGAGUAACACGUGGGUAACCUGCCCAUAAGACUGGGAUAACUCCGGGAAACCGGGGCUAAUACCGGAUAACAUUUUGAACCGCAUGGUUCGAAAUUGAAAGGCGGCUUCGGCUGUCACUUAUGGAUGGACCCGCGUCGCAUUAGCUAGUUGGUGAGGUAACGGCUCACCAAGGCAACGAUGCGUAGCCGACCUGAGAGGGUGAUCGGCCACACUGGGACUGAGACACGGCCCAGACUCCUACGGGAGGCAGCAGUAGGGAAUCUUCCGCAAUGGACGAAAGUCUGACGGAGCAACGCCGCGUGAGUGAUGAAGGCUUUCGGGUCGUAAAACUCUGUUGUUAGGGAAGAACAAGUGCUAGU